UAGGGAAUAUUGGUCAAUGGAGGGAACUCUGAACCAGCCAUGCCGCGUGCAGGAAGAAGGCGUUAUGCGUUGUAAACUGCUUUUUUACGGGAGCAAAUUCAGAUACGAGAUAUUUGAUUGAGAGUACUGUAAGAAUAAGCACCGGCUAACUCCGUGCCAGCAGCCGCGGUAAUACGGAGGGUGCAAGCGUUAUCCGGAUUUAUUGGGUUUAAAGGGUGCGUAGGCGGACUAAUAAGUCAGUGGUGAAAUCCUCGAGCUUAACUUGAGAACUGCCAUUGAUACUGUUAGACUAGAGUACAUUUGAGGUAGGCGGAAUGUGUUGUGUAGCGGUGAAAUGCAUAGAUAUAACACAGAACACCGAUCGCGAAGGCAGCUUACCAAGUUGUAACUGACGCUGAGGCACGAAAGCGUGGGGAUCAAACA
rnacentral:rRNA from 1 species